rnacentral:sRNA from 12 species
GCUUUCAACAUCCCCGUCCAAUUCGCUCACCGCGAUGUUUGGACUGAAGGC